ensembl:lncRNA
AUUUUUAAGAGAUGAGUCCACCUUCCCUGAUGCCACUUUUGCUUUACUGAGCAGCUGCCAGAAGUUUGCUGGCUCGGACUGUGGUUUUAGAAGACAUCUGGAUAUCCAGUUCUCAUUUAUGUUAGUAGGAAGAGGGUGUCCAAAGCACAGAGGAAGUUUUGGUAAUUUCUAUGGUAACUCAUUGGAGACAUUGUCAGCCUGACUGUGACCUCCUCAGCACUGAGAGAAACCAGAAAUAGCUCCAGUUCAGGCUUUUGAGUUUUGCCAUGAAACGGAUGUGAGGCCACAUCACUUUUUGAUUUUUAGGUUUGGUUUCAGGAGCAGGCAGGUUUUCAGUUCCCAGGCAAAGCAGAGUGGAGAGUUGCCCCAGCAGAGGCAGGGAGGAGACACAGGACGACACAGAGCUCUGAGGGGGACUGGAGAGGAGCCCAUGCUGGAGCUGUGGAGUAAGGAACGAGAAGACCAAAGCCAAGGAAUCCCAACACACCUGCCCCAGCCCCUGUGCAACCCCAUGCCGCACCAAGGGAGGAGAAGUGUCAGGAGCAAAACUGAAAUGUCUCCCUAAGAGUUUGCUUAAUUUUAUUUCUCAAUACUGGAAUAAGUAAUUAGAAGCUUGUUAAUUGGAAAUAAUUUCCUGACAUAAUACAUAUGUAUUUUUCCCUCCAUGACAGAAAGGAGCAAAAAAAGCCCACCUUUGCUGCCUGGUAAGGCAGAAGAACACUGGUUGAAGGUUCCUACAGUUUUGCUGAUGGAAGUAAUGUAUGUCAGGUUGUACAGGACCAGAAAUACCUGAAUCCAAGGCCUUGCUGUACCAUAGCAUAAGAUCUUCAAGCCAAGGGAAAAUAGCAGAUUGCAAGGACAAGAAAGAAGGACUUCCUCUAUGUGUAUGCCAGAAGCCAAUUUUUCUUCCUCAAGGCACCCUAAAGGUUUAUGGACAGCUGGAUGACCCAAGUGAAAUGCACCCUUCACCCUGUGUCCUUCCCAGCUGAGGGUGAAUACAGGCAAUAAUGACAAUUCUUCUCACAACCCUGACCAGGUGGGUACCUGGUCCCAUAAGCAGUGAAUAGGUGAAGUUAGUUAGUUAGUUAGUUAGUUUGUUAGUUUGUUUGUUUGUUUUAACCAUACCAACAGUGCUUCCCCAGUUGGUGGGUAGAAUGAGUGUCUGCUCCCAGGAUUUGCAUGUUUUAGAUCCCAUGACCUCCUGAUUUCAGAGUUUAGGGCAAGGUAAAGGAGGGGUGACUAUUUCUCCUUCAGGUAGAAGAAACUGUUUGCAAGCGUAGAAGAUGCCAGCUUCCAAAAGGCCCAUUGUGCAUGUUCCCCAGAAGGUGAAUGGGAAUGCUGACAAUCUACCUGGAGCACUAAGCAGCUGGGGGUGAAAAAUCCUGAGGCAAAAUGCUUAAAAAUUCUCUUUAUAAAAAGACUGGUAUCAUGUAUAGUCUUUACAUUUUUAAUAACAAUCUGUAAAACUUGCUAAGAAAGCUUUUUGAAUACCAUGAUUUAUUGCAUCUUCAUGAACAUUGCUAGGAUAUUUUUUGAAUUUGUUUCAUUAAAGGAGAUAUUCUCAGCCAA